UACGAAGGGGGCUAGCGUUGUUCGGAAUUACUGGGCGUAAAGGGCGCGUAGGCGGUACUUCAAGUCAGGCGUGAAAGCCCCGGGCUCAACCUGGGAACCGCGCUUGAGACUGGAGAACUAGAGUUCGGGGGAGGAUGGUGGAAUUCCCAGUGUAGAGGUGAAAUUCGUAGAUAUUGGGAAGAACACCGAAUGGCGAAGGCAGCCAUCUGGGACCGACAC
rnacentral:rRNA from 1 species